rnacentral:rRNA from 1 species
AGAGAGUUCAAUAGACCGUGAAACCGUUGGGAGGGAAGCUCAGGGUGUCGAGGUUGUCAUGCUUCGUUGCUGGGUUCAUCCGGUGGCCAGCCACUGGUGCAUUCUCAGUCGAAGUUGGACCGUCAGUCGGGAAGAGCCUGUGACCUGCUUAUCGGCGUUAGGGAGGUAGGCCUUGCGGUUGCUUUCGGGCUCCCAGGGUCACGUAUAGCCUUUCGUCGUGGUCUCAGUCGUCUUUCAGGUGUGUGGAUGGCCGUUCGUCCAUAAUCGGUAGGUGCAGUCUCCCCUUGUGGGAGAUCGGGCCUUCGCUGCGGUUGCUCGGUGUCCUGGAGUUUGUGUUCCGUUCUCUCGCCGUUUGACUUGUCUGCGGUGUAGGGUGCGGCACUGCCCUUGACACUGUGUCCCAAGGUGUCGUGUCCAAGUUCUGUGCCAAGGUGACUGGCGAAGAGUCGUUACUCUGUGACCCGU